rnacentral:rRNA from 1 species
AUUGAACGCUGGCGGAAUGCUUUACACAUGCAAGUCGGACGGCAGCACGGGAGCUUGCUCCUGGUGGCGAGUGGCGAACGGGUGAGUAAUGCGUCGGAACGUACCGAGUAAUGGGGGAUAACGCAGCGAAAGCUGUGCUAAUACCGCAUACGCCCUGAGGGGGAAAGUGGGGGAUCGUAAGACCUCACGUUAUUCGAGCGGCCGACGUCUGAUUAGCUAGUUGGUGGGGUAAUGGCCUACCAAGGCGACGAUCAGUAGCUGGUCUGAGAGGAUGACCAGCCACACUGGGACUGAGACACGGCCCAGACUCCUACGGGUGGCAG